rnacentral:rRNA from 1 species
AUGAACGUUGGCGGCGUGCCUAACACAUGCAAGUCGAGCGUGAAAGUCCUUCGGGAUGAGUAAAGCGGCGGACGGGUGAGUAACGCGUGAGAAUCUUCCCUUCAAUGAGGAAUACCUUUGAGAAAUCGAAGUUAAUACUGCAUACGUCUCGAAAGAGAGAAAGAUGGCCUAAUUGCUGUCGUUGAAGGAUGAGCUUGCGUUCUAUUAGCUAGUUGGUGAGGUAAUGGCUCACCAAGGCGAUGAUGGAUAGCCGGCCUGAGAGGGCGAACGGCCACAUUGGAACUUAGAUACGGUCCAAACUCCUACGGGAGGCAGCAGUGAGGAAUAUUGCACAAUGGGCGAAAGCCUGAUGCAGCGACGCCGCGUGGAGGAUGAAGGUUUUCGGAUUGUAAACUCCUGUUAAGUGGGAAAAAAGACUCGUUUUUAAUAGAAACGAGGGAUGAUGGUACCACUAAAGAAAGCACCGGCUAACUUCGU